rnacentral:rRNA from 1 species
GAUGAACGCUGGCGGCGUGCCUAAUACAUGCAAGUCGAGCGAACGGACGAGAAGCUUGCUUCUCUGAUGUUAGCGGCGGACGGGUGAGUAACACGUGGAUAACCUACCUAUAAGACUGGGAUAACUUCGGGAAACCGGAGCUAAUACCGGAUAAUAUUUUGAACCGCAUGGUUCAAAAGUGAAAGACGGUCUUGCUGUCACUUAUAGAUGGAUCCGCGCUGCAUUAGCUAGUUGGUAAGGUAACGGCUUACCAAGGCAACGAUGCAUAACCGACCUGAGAGGGUGAUCGGCCACACUGGAACGGAGACACGGUCCAGACUCCUACGGAAGGCAGCAGUAGGGAAUCGUCCGCAAGGGGCGAAAGCCUGACGGAGCAACGCCGAGUGAGGGAUGAAGGUCGUCGGAUCGGAAAACUCUGUUAUUAGGGAAGAAAAUAUGUGUAAGUAACUGUGAACAUCUUGACGGGAACUAAUCAGAAAGCCACGGCUAACUACGGGC